AAAGUACUCCCUCCAUCCCAAAAUUAUUGUCUUAGAUUUGUCUAGAUACGGAUGUAUCAAGUCAAAUUUUAGUAUUAGAUACAUCCGUAUCUAGACAAAUCUAAGACAAGAAAUUUGGGACAGAGGGAGUAGUUG
rnacentral:pre_miRNA from 1 species